rnacentral:rRNA from 1 species
GCGUUGUCCGGAAUUAUUGGGCGUAAAGAGCUCGUAGGCGGUUUGUUGCGUCUAUCGUGAAAACCUGCGGCUUAACUGUGGGCUUGCGGUGGAUACGGGCAGACUUGAGUUCGGUAGGGGAGACUGGAAUUCCUGGUGUAGCGGUGAAAUGCGCAGAUAUCAGGAGGAACACCGGUGGCGAAGGCGGGUCUCUGGGCAACAACUGACGCUGAGGAGCGAAAGCGUGGGGAGCGAACAGG